UUUCAGUUUUUGAACUUCAAGAGCUGUGUGCCGAAACCAUUAAUAAAAAGCUUGAGUCAUAAAGAGGAUAUCAGAGCUUUAAAUCUUCCAAGAAAGUUGCAAGAUAUGGUUCUGGAGUCGUAUAAAAUUGCUUCCAGCGAUUCUGUUUUCCCACUGCGAGUUCUUGGCGCAAAAGCCAUCAACGAGCAAAUGACUGAGAAUGAUAUAGAUGAUAUACGACUUCAUCCAAGGUUGCAAAGAAUCGUAUUGGAAUGCCGUGAGAUUCUCAACUAAUUCAUGUUGCAGUUAUACAUUUUGAGCAUUACAUUCAAGUUAAAUUGUGAUGAACAAUUUUUCAUUUUAUAUUUUUAGGAAUAUUUUUUAUCUUUUAUUAUUGUAUAUGAAUUUGUAAGAUGUUGUGUGCAUGUUUAUAUUUUUAUAAAUGCUUUUAGUGUAAUAACAUUUAAUGUAACAUUUGAACAGCUUGUUUCAUUAACAUAAAUAUGUUUCAUUAACUUGUUUCAUUAACAUAAUAAAUUUUUCAUAAAAAUGUCCAUUGGUUCAUUAAAAAUUAAAAAGAAAGAUGCAUACUGUACUACAAAUAAUAAAUAAUAAAAAAUUUUUAAAUAAUUCUUUCAGAUUUGAUGAAGUAGUUUUCGCUGUAAAUGGAGGAAUGGUGUAAGUGAAAGAAUUCUGAGAAAGAUAUAUGUGCACUUAAUUACUGUAAAAAUAUAAUUUUUCCAAUAAGUAUUGGUGUUUUAAACUAGGUUGACUUCUGCAACACGUCUUGGGUACGUUCUGAUUAUCCACAUUCCCAUUGAAAAGUCACAAGCUUGUUUGGGUAAAACGUUGAGUAUCUUUGUAGGUAUUUCAAAAAUGUGUCCAUUGCUGCUUAUUUUUUACAUUGAUUAAAGAAAAUGAAACACUUAAGAAAUUUUUCUGUAAUUUCACUGUGCUUGUUUCCCUUUGUACACUGACCCAAUUUUACUUUAAAAAUGGAGAAUUGCACAAGAAUUGUGCACCAGCCAUGAUCUCAUACCCAAACACAGCUGAAACUUCAAUAUGCACUUUAACAUACUGAAUAUAAAAGUGGGCAAACUCCACAGUUCCAUCAUGAUUCGUUGGGACAAAAAGAAAUACUAAUUAGAAAAGCAACUUGAAUUUCGAAAGUACAAAUAAAUUCCUUUCAAAUCAAAACGUGUGCUGCGCAUAUGCGGGGUUUGACAAGCAAAUACUUUUUGGCCAUAUGUGGUUGUGUUUCAUCAGUAUAUUUUAAAGGCUUUUUGAUUGGAAUGCAGAUAAUCAGAAAGUAUCACUUAAUAAAAGCAUGUAUUUUUUACAUGUAACCACAUUCUAAAAAAUAAAUGUUAGCAUUAAUAAAUAAUGUAUGAUAUUGAAGUUAAUUUUAUGGAAAUUUAAUUUCUCAAGAGAAAAGUUUUUUUUUUUAAGCGUAAUGUCUGAGAAAAUAGGAAGAACAGUGAAGUUAAUAAAAUAGUUUUUUAUCCUUUUUUUAUAAACUAUAAAUAAUUUUUAAAUUUAAAAGAAAGUAAUAAGGUGAAAUUGCAAAAUAUCAAACAUUUUACAAGGAUUGAUUUAUUAUUUCCAGCUGUCUAAAUUAUUAAUAUUUAAUAUGAAGAAUCUUUGAUUUAAAUUACUAAUGCAGAUCACUUGCACAUAGUACUCAUGUUUUGGCUAGGUCAUUCAUUAGAGUUAUGUGAAUGCUGUCAUAUUACAUCAUUUCAUUCUUUAUUGCUUGGAUUCUUUAUACUCACUUUAUGUGUUAAUGCUGUUCAAUAUUUUCUACUGGUCAUGUGGCAGGCCAUUGCAAUUUUUGGAUUGAUUUAGAUAAAAACCAUUUGUCCACUGUUCAAGCUUGAAGGCAUGAUGCAUUAUCAUCUUGAAAGAUUUAAACAUUCUGUAACAUGUAAUAGCUGGAUGAGGGAUUUUUUUCAAGCUUAUAAAUAUGUUGGACUGCAUUCAUUUUCUGUUCAACAGGAAAGUUGACCAAUUCCAUGUGUGGAUUUACAAUUCCAUAUCAAACUUGCAACACUUUACUGUUGUUGUAGUGAAGAAUGAAAAGUUAUCAAACUUGCAACACUUUACUGUUGUUGUAGUGAAGAAUGAAAAGUUGUAUAACUUUGAUUAAUGUUGAAUAUCACAUAAAAUAAUGAAGUGUACUUGAUAAAAUUUUUUAAAUUCACCAGUUUGGAAAUCUUUAUGAAAUCUUAAAAUUGUUUAAUCUUGUUAAACAAUUUAUAUCCUAGUCUUUGUUCAGUUUUGUUUGAUUUAUGAAAACAUAUUAUGAUAUACAUCCAGGUAUAAUCAAUUAGCUAGUUAUAUUAUUUGUUAUUUACCUUAGUGGUGAAAAAAGUUGUUCGACUGGUGCAGUUGAUAAUGAUAUUGGCAGAAUUAGUAAGUAAACUUAUCAUUCGUAAUGUUUUUAAUAUUGCUGGGUUUUGUACAUGGUAUUAAUUUAAGUAUAGGUUUAUUUUCUAUCUGAAGGAAACAAUAAAAAAAAGCAGUUAACAUAUUUUGUUGUACGGAUUAGUGCUGAAUGUAUUUAAUAAUUUUUCAAAGUCUGGUUUCAUCAUUUUAAAGUUCAUGAAUUCAAAUGUAUUAGAGCCAGCCGUUAGGCAUUUUUGUUUGGAUAUAUUACAUUUUCAUAAAAUGCUUAUACUAAUUUCUAUUCUUUUAGCGGGGGGGGGAUCCUUUUCUCCUGUAAUAAAUGCUCCUUUUGCUAUCAUUUUGUAAUCACUUCUAUCAGUGUUGCACUCUAUGUAAAAUUUCAUUUGAUGCUGAUAACUUAAUGUUGGUGUGUAAAUGUUUGUGGUGAUGAAUGUAGAUACUAACAUAAUGAAGUUGGCUAAAUUCAUCAUUAUUCUGAGCAUUCAUUCUGUUAAAAACUGAAAAGACCAAAAUAGAAAUCUUUUAUUGUAUCACAAAUUACCAAAUGGCUAAUUUUUCCCUUGUGUAGUUUUGAAAAUGUUUUUGGCCUACUUUUUUACAUUUAUUGCACAUGCCCAUUCAAGAACAAGAUUUAUUUUUUUUUUCCCAGAAAUUUUAAAAUUUAAAUCUGUGGCCGAAGAACUUCAUUACUUGAUCAAGGUUCGUAUGGCCCUUAAGAGUCCUUAGAUUUUUUUUUUUUUUUUUUUUUUUUGCAAUCUAUUUUUGGUUCUUAAAAGUCCUUAAUUUCAGCCAAAAUCAGCAGAAAGGCCUUAAUUUUAAUCAUCUGAAAUUUCUGUAUGUUUUUACAACUGUCAUUUUGAGAGUGAAUUAGGAGUACUUAAAAGUACUUAAUUUCCAUGUGCAGAAAUGUGUACGAACCAUGCUUGGGGUAAAAAAUAUCACACUGACAGAUUAAGAGACACACAGGGGUUGAAAGGUGUAAUCACCACAAUACUCAGGCACAAGGCCCAACCUCUAUCAAAAUUGAUUGUAAACUUUUUAAGUUAUUCUCAUGCGAAAAUGAUUUAGUUAUAAAACACUAAAUUAUAAAAUUAGUUUAAUAUUGUGAUAGUUUACUAGCAUGACAACACUUCGCAGAAUUUGAAGAAAUGAAAAGCUGAAUUAGCUGAUCAGAAAACAGGUGUAGUUCAUUGCUCAAAAUGCUCGAAAGAAGAACACAGGUUAAUAUUAAAAAUGCAGUCACACCGAGGGCUUUUGAAGAACUACAUGAUGCAGGACGUAAGAUAAAUCUGUGAUCAGAAUAGGCAACCAAGAAAUAUAUUAUUAUAGAAAGAUAAAUGUCAGUUACAUAAGUGACAUGGCAUUAUGUAAGGUUAUUAAGAAUGUUUCUUUCUUGACAUUUUCUGGAGAGCUAUAGUUAUAGUCAGUGCUGUAAAUAUAGGUAUGCAAAGCAAUUCAGACAUGAUAGAUGUGGAGACAAAUGUUAUGUUUUUCCUGGGUGAAAUAGCUGAGGCCUCAAUGCCUGAAAUCUGUGGAAUUGCUAGAGUGUAAUGGGGAAUACAUUUCGACCUCCUCUAGAACUACUAUGAUUCUUGGAUCUGUUGUUUCUAUAGACAGAAUAGUUAAGCACAAAGAUUGGAGCAUAUGGGCUAAGCUUAUGUUCUUCUAUGAACUUAAUAUCAUGAGAGUACUAAUUUAUAAUGUCCUGAAGUUCAUUUUAUUUACAAGACAAUCUAUGUAAAUAACACAUAAAGAUUUGUGAAGUUUACUAGACAUUCAAGAUUUUCAGAACUUAAAACGUCUUUGAAUAUAACGAAGAAAAUAAACAGUUUAUCGGCUGAGUUUUCUGCACCCUGAAGGUAGAUAAUUUUACAAAGACUUUUUUUAAUGAUAUUUACAAUCUUAAAUAUGUCAGGAAAUUCUUUGAGGAGUUUGAAGAUGUCAGACAAAGCCCUAAAAGCCCUGACCCAUCAGUUUCAGUGCAGUUCUUAGCAGCAUUUGCACAUAACAUGUUAAGAGUGACAGCAGUAUAUUUAAUGCCUGUAAUCGACUUUUCUAAGGAGUUAUUUGUGAUACCAGGUUUACUACGAGCAACUUUGGGGACUGAUUUGUUGGAAAUUUCAGAAACCCGCGAUAAUCUGCAUCAUGUCCCAUUUGUUGAUAAUUAUAGCAUUUUACAUUAUGUAUUCCCAUAUCAACACAAUCAAAGCUUUGUGGGCAGAUAAGCUUAGUACUGUAUUGCUUUAAUUUGGAUGUGUCAGGUGAAUGUUUGAAGUGCUAGCAAUUGUGGCAUUGUGAAACACCUCCUUUAACUUUAUACGACACAACAGAUAUAGAAAAAUACAGUUUUGUACAUCCGCUCAACACGAGGCUCAUUAAUUCUAUUUGUAAAAAAAGGGAGAGGAACCUUUGUAUUGAUUCAAAAUAUUUGUGAGACUUUUUUUCACUUGGAAGCCUCGGUUUUUGAACUCUUUUGUAAUGUUCUCAGUGGAACAGUCUGGUUGUAGAUCAUUGAAAAUUAGUUUAAUCGUCCUCUCAAAUUUGCUUGUAAUCACAUAAAGAUCAAUUUGGUGUUCACCAAAGUAGUUAGUGAUUCCCCUGGGGCAUCUUUUGUUUUAGGGGUAAGCCUUUAGAAAUUAUCCGUUUACUCAGCUAGUAAAUUCUGUGAAGUGAAUAUUCAAACACAAAGCCUAUUUUCUGUUGAAACUGAUUGUGAAAUUUAUAAUUGUUCUCAAGUCCAAGUGAUUUAGGUGUAAAAAUACUAAAUUUCAAAAUUUGUUCAAUACAUAGAUACGAAGAUACUGUGGUGAUGAGUCACGGUAAGCGAUAAAGAAAUGUGCAUUGUUGCUGAUAAAUAUGGUAACCCUAAGGAGACAUUUGUAGAAGUGUGGAAAAUAGAGUUUAUCCUGUAUGUGCUCAUAUUUGAAGUCUUGAAAUAAAGACACAUUUUUAUUGUGUAUUUUAUCUGGUUGAAAUUCUCGAUAAAUGUUGUGAAUGUUAUUUAAUGUGCUACGGACAACAAAGAUCUGCCUCAUACCAUGAUAACUUUUCAUUAUGGUACGAGCAGAGCAUACCAUAAUGAAAGUAUUUAUGUCAUACUAAGGAUUAUAGCAUCACACUGAACAUUUCUGAAUGAAGUUUUGCGAAAUAUU